UCACGUUCGGGAGGGUCCGAGGGUGGUCGAGGGUGCACGUGGGAUGGCAGCCUUCGACUCAGCCGGGAUCAACCGGGCACCCAGCGGAGGUCGCGCGAUCAACAAGUACGGGACGUGUCCAGGACCUCUUGGGCGAUCGGCAGUGCUCCAAUUUCUGAUCCCCAUUUGGAUCCGGGGACCGCGCUAAAUCAUCGAACAGCUGAUUUUGACAGCUCACUGGCAGUGACUGUGAUCGUGAACAAGCAAAGGCAAUUAUCUUGAAUAAUAAUGAAUCCUCAUGAGAUGAGGAGAAAACGGAAAAAGUACUCGAAAUUUUCCGACUCGUUGCUAAAUUAGACUUUCGUCCCCGCGAAUUUCUUUGACUGGAAAAUUAGUUAAUAAGUGGACAAUCAAAUUUUGCUAUGAAAUCAUUUCCGAGAGAAAUUAGUUGACGAAUCCAUUCUUGCCUAGUCUCUCAUGACUAAUGUUCAUUUCGUAAAUAUAUUUGAUAUUACCUUUUCAUAUAAAAAUUAGUUAAUUAGCGGGCAACUAAAUUUCGUCGCAAGAUUCUUUUUGCACAGACUUAAUCUUGGAACAAAUUUGCGAAGAAUUUAGUCGCGAUGGAACAUUCGACCUCUAAUGACGGCCUGAAUGCAGAAUUAAU